rnacentral:rRNA from 1 species
AGGAUAAACGCUGGCGGCGUGCCUAACACAUGCAAGUCGAACGCGCUUUCGGGCUUCGGUGCGAGAGCGAGUGGCGGACGGGUGAGUAACACAUGGGUACCUGCCUUUCAGUGAGGGAUACCGGCGAGAAAUCGCCGACAAUACCGCAUAGGCUUCUCGGUCGCAAGAGCGGGAAGCAAAGUGGCGCAAGUCACGCUGGAAGAUGGGCCUGUGGCCGAUUAGCUAGUUGGGGGGGUAAUGGCCUCCCAAGGCGACGAUCGGUAGCUGGUCUGAGAGGACGAUCAGCCACACUGGGAUUGAGAACGGCCCAGACUCCUACGGGGGGCAGCAGUGAGGAAUUUUCCGCAAUGGACGAAAGUCUGACGGAGCAACGCCGCGUGCAGGAGGAAGGUUUUCGGAUCGUAAACUGCUUUUCUCGGGGACGAGCAAGGACGGUACCCGAGGAAGAAGCCCCGGCUAACUACGUGCCAGCAGCCGCGGUAA